CGGGAUGUAGGUCUGUAACUGGUAGCAGUCCCGCCUUGGAAGCGGGUGCGUAAGCCUUGCACGUUCGAGUCGUGUCUUCCCGA
rnacentral:tRNA from 2 species